GUCAGCAUGGCCGAGUGGUCUAAGGUGCUGCGUUCAGAUCGCAGUUCUUUUGCCGUGGGUUCGAACCCCACUUACAACA
rnacentral:tRNA from 1 species